UACGUAGGGUGCAAGCGUUGUCCGGAAUUAUUGGGCGUAAAGAGCUCGUAGGCGGUCUGUCGCGUCGGCUGUGAAAACUCGGGGCUCAACCCCGAGCUUGCAGUCGAUACGGGCAGGCUAGAGUUCGGCAGGGGAGACUGGAAUUCCUGGUGUAGCGGUGAAAUGCGCAGAUAUCAGGAGGAACACCGAUGGCGAAGGCAGCUCGCUGGGACGGUACUGACGCUGAGGCGCGAAAGCGUGGGGAGCGAACAGG
rnacentral:rRNA from 1 species